rnacentral:rRNA from 1 species
GACGAACGCUGGCGGCGUGCUUAACACAUGCAAGUCGAACGGAAAGGCCCUUCUUUUGUCUGGUGCUCGAGUGGCGAACGUGUGAGUAACAUGUGAUUCACCUGCCCUUGACUUUGGGAUAACUUCCGGAAACUGGUGCUAAUACCGGAUCGGCGCUCCUUCUGCAUGGUGUGGGUUGUAAUGUUUCUGCGGUUGGGGAUGGACUCGCGGCUUAUCAGCUUGUUGGUGGGGUAGUGGCUUACCAAGGCUUUGACGGGUAGCCGGCCUGAGAGGGUGACCGGCCACAUUGGGACUGAGAUACGGCCCAGACUCCUACGGGAGGCAGCAGUGGGGAAUAUUGCACAAUGGGCGGAAGCCUGAUGCAGCAACGCCGCGUGCGGGAUGACGGCCUUCGGGUUGCAAACCGCUUUCGCCUGUGACGAAGCGUGAGUGACGGUAAUGGGUAAAGAAGCACCGGCUAACUACGUG